UUGCCGUGAUGACAAACUUAGGACACCUUUGAAAUUAAGUUUGAAAACAAAUUGCAUUAAAGAAAUCUGAACAGC
ensembl:snoRNA SNORD58 Small nucleolar RNA SNORD58